UACAGAGGGUGCAAGCGUUGUUCGGAAUUAUUGGGCGUAAAGCGCGUGUAGGCGGCUUUGCAAGUCGGGUGUGAAAGCCCUCAGCUUAACUGAGGAAGUGCGCCCGAAACUGCAGAGCUUGAGUACCGGAGAGGGUGGCGGAAUUCCCCAAGUAGAGGUGAAAUUCGUAGGUAUGGGGAGGAACACCGGUGGCGAAGGCGGCCACCUGGACGGAUACUGACGCUGAGGAGCGAAAGCGUGGGGAGCGAACAGG
rnacentral:rRNA from 1 species